GUUUUUAUCAACCCCAUAUCAGCAAAAGUUAUAAUCGUUGCUUGCAAAAUUUUGCUUCACCAUUGUGUGUUGAGAUGAGUUGUCAGUCUAAUGGAGAGAGUGAAAACGUUUCGACGCCUUGUGAUGCCGGUGGCAGUUCAACAAUUGACAAGAGUAGUAUGGUGUACCCACAAGCUGUACUUGCAACUGGAUGGAUGUAUGUCAAUGAACAGGGUCAAAUGUGUGGUCCUUACAUUAAGGAACAGUUGUAUGAGGGUCUGUCUACUGGUUUUUUGCCGGAAGAACUUCACGUUUAUCCUGUCUUAAAUGGGGCCAUUUCGAAUGCAGUGCCCUUAAAGUAUUUCAAUCAAUUCCCUGAACAUGUUGCGACUGGAUUUGCUUAUGUAAUGGUUUCGUCCUCUGGUGCAAAUGGACCAACGGAUAAGUCCAUGGGAGUUGCCAAAGAUUCAGGAGGAAAUGAAAUGGAUUUGCAAACAACUUCCCCCUAUUCUAACUCGGUGGCUCAACAUGGAACUCAUUUGUUGAACCAACAGAUGGCUACCACUGGCUCUGCUGGAACACUUG
rnacentral:misc_RNA from 1 species